rnacentral:rRNA from 1 species
GUGGGGAAUAUUGGGCAAUGGGGGAAACCCUGACCCAGCAACGCCGCGUGAAGGAAGAAGGUUUUCGGAUUGUAAACCUCUGUCCUUGGUGACGAAGGAAGUGACGGUAACCAAGGAGGAAGCCCCGGCUAACUACGUGCCAGCAGCCGCGGUAAUACGUAGGGGGCAAGCGUUGUCCGGAAUGACUGGGCGUAAAGGGCGUGUAGGCGGCCGAUUAAGUCUGGAGUGAGAGUCCUGCUUUCAAGGUGGGAAUUGCUUUGGAGACUGGUUGGCUUGAGUGCGGAAGAGGUAAGUGGAAUUCCCAGUGUAGCGGUGAAAUGCGUAGAGAUUGGGAGGAACACCAGUGGCGAAGGCGACUUACUGGGCCGUAACUGACGCUGAGGCGCGAAAGCGUGGGGAGCGAACAGGAUUAGAAACCCGGGUAGUCC